rnacentral:rRNA from 12 species
CGGGUAAGUUCCGACCUGCACGAAUGGCGUAACGACGGCCACACUGUCUCCACCCGAGACUCAGUGAAAUUGAAAUCGCAGUGAAGAUGCUGUGUACCCGCGGCUAGACGGAAAGACCCCGUGAACCUUUACUAUAGCUUCACAGUGGACUUUGACAUUACUUGUGUAGGAUAGCUGGGAGGCUUUGAAGCGUGGACGCCAGUCUGCGUGGAGCCAAUCUUGAAAUACCAGCCUGGUAAUGUUGAGGUUCUAACUCAGGUCCCUCAUCGGGAUCGAGGACACUGUGUGGUGGGUAGUUUGACUGGGGCGGUCUCCUCCCAAAGAGUAACGGAGGAGCACGAAGGUUGGCUAAUCAUGGUCGGAAAUCAUGAGGUUAGUGUAAUGGCACAAGCCAGCUUAACUGCGAGACUGACACGUCGAGCAGGUACGAAAGUAGGUCAUAGUGAUCCGGUGGUUCUGUAUGGAAGGGCCAUCGCUCAACGGAUAAAAGGUACGCCGGGGAUAACAGGCUGAUGAUGCCCAAGAGUCCAUAUCGACGGCAUUGUUUGGCACCUCGAUGUCGGCUC